rnacentral:rRNA from 1 species
GACGUAGGGCGCGAGCGUUGUCCGGAUUUAUUGGGCGUAAAGAGCUCGUAGGCGGCUUGUCGCGUCGACUGUGAAAACCCACGGCUCAACUGUGGGCUUGCAGUCGAUACGGGCAGGCUAGAGUUCGGUAGGGGAGACUGGAAUUCCUGGUGUAGCGGUGAAAUGCGCAGAUAUCAGGAGGAACACCGGUGGCGAAGGCGGGUCUCUGGGCCAGCACUGACACUGAGGCACGAAAGCGUGGGGAGCAAACAGG